rnacentral:rRNA from 1 species
CUACGGGGUGCUGCAGUGAGGAAUAUUGCACAAUGGGGGGAAUCCUGAUGCAGCAACGCCGCGUGGAGGAUGACGCAUUUCGGUGUGUAAACUCCUUUUAUAUGUCAAGAAAAUGACGGUAGCAUAUGAAUAAGCACCGGCUAACUCCGUGCCAGCAGGCCGCGGUAAUACGGAGGGUGCAAGCGUUACUCGGAAUCACCGGGCGUAAAGGACGCGUAGGCGGGUUGGAAAGUCAGGUGUGAAAUCCUACAGCUUAACUGUAGAACUGCACUUGAAACUGGUAACCUAGAGUAUGGGAGGGGGAGAUGGAAUUAGUGGUGUAGGGGUAAAAUCCGUAGAUAUCACUAGGAAUACCUAAAGCGAAGGCGAUCUCCUGGAACAUAACUGACGCUAAGGCGUGAAAGCGUGGGGAGCAAACAGGAUUAGAUACCCCGGUAGUC